CGAGGGGUAUAAGUCUUCGGAUUUAGAGACCGGCGCACGGGUGCGUAACGCGUAUGCAAUCUACCUUUUACAGAGGGAUAGCCCAGAGAAAUUUGGAUUAAUACCUCAUAGUAUAUAGACUCGGCAUCGAGAUUAUAUUAAAGUCACAACGGUAAAAGAUGAGCAUGCGUCCCAUUAGCUAGUUGGUAAGGUAACGGCUUACCAAGGCUACGAUGGGUAGGGGUCCUGAGAGGGAGAUCCCCCACACUGGUACUGAGACACGGACCAGACUCCUACGGGAGGCAGCAGUGAGGAAUAUUGGACAAUGGGCGCAAGCCUGAUCCAGCCAUGCCGCGUGCAGGAUGACGGUCCUAUGGAUUGUAAACUGCUUUUAUACGAGAAGAAACACUGCUACGUGUAGCAGCUUGACGGUAUCGUAAGAAUAAGGAUCGGCUAACUCCGUGCCAGCAGCCGCGGUAAUACGGAGGAUCCAAGCGUUAUCCGGAAUCAUUGGGUUUAAAGGGUCCGUAGGCGGUUUAAUAAGUCAGUGGUGAAAGCCCAUCGCUCAACGGUGGAACGGCCAUUGAUACUGUUAAACUUGAAUUAUUAGGAAGUAACUAGAAUAUGUAGUGUAGCGGUGAAAUGCUUAGAGAUUACAUGGAAUACCAAUUGCGAAGGCAGGUUACUACUAAUUGAUUGACGCUGAUGGACGAAAGCGUGGGUAGCGAACAGGAUUAGAUACCCUGGUAGUCCACGCCGUAAACGAUGGAUACUAGCUGUUGGGAGCAAUCUCAGUGGCUAAGCGAAAGUGAUAAGUAUCCCACCUGGGGAGUACGUUCGCAAGAAUGAAACUCAAAGGAAUUGACGGGGGCCCGCACAAGCGGUGGAGCAUGUGGUUUAAUUCGAUGAUACGCGAGGAACCUUACCAAGGCUUAA
rnacentral:rRNA from 1 species